rnacentral:rRNA from 1 species
ACAUCCGGUGCCGGGACCGUGCAUGGCAGGCAGUUUGACUGGGGCGGUCUCCUCCCAAAGAGUAACGGAGGAGUGCAAUGGUACACUCAGUCUGGUCGGCAAUCAGACGUAGAGCGUAAAGGUAGAAGUGUGCUUGACUGCGAGACCCAUAAGUCGAGCAGGAACGAAAGUUGGUCUUAGUGAUCCGGUAAUCCCGAAUGGAAGGGUUAUCGCUCAUCAGAUAAAAGGUACUCCGGGGAUAACAGGCUGAUACCGCCCAAGAGUUCACAUCGACGGCGGUGUUUGGCACCUCGAUGUCGGCUCAUCACAUCCUGGG